rnacentral:tRNA from 1 species
ACCUCGUUAACUCAGUUGGUAGAGUAACGGUCUUUUAAACCGUGAGUCGCUGGUUCGAACCCAGCACGAGGUACUA